rnacentral:rRNA from 1 species
UACAGAGGUCCCGAGCGUUGUUCGGAUUCAUUGGGCGUAAAGGGUGCGUAGGCGGCUUCCUAAGUUUGAUGUGAAAUCCCGGGGCUCAACCCUGGAAUUGCAUUGAAUACUGGGAGGCUAGAGUACUGGCGAGGAAACUGGAAUUUACGGUGUAGCAGUGAAAUGCGUAGAGAUCGUAAGGAAGACCAGUGGCGAAGGCGAGUUUCUGGACAGUAACUGACGCUGAGGCACGAAGGCCAGGGGAGCAAACGGG